CGGCGUGCCUAAUACAUGCAAGUCGAACGGUCUUUCUAUGGAAGCUUGCUUCCACUGAGAAGAUAGUGGCGAACGGGUGAGUAACACGUGGGUAACCUGCCCAUAAGAGGGGGAUAACAUCCGGAAACGGGUGCUAAUACCGCAUAGUUUUCUUGAUCGCAUGAUCGGGAAAGGAAAGACGGCCUUUGUGCUGUCGCUUAUGGAUGGACCCGCGGCGUAUUAGUUAGUUGGUGAGGUAACGGCUCACCAAGACGAUGAUACGUAGCCGACCUGAGAGGGUGAUCGGCCACAUUGGGACUGAGACACGGCCCAAACUCCUACGGGAGGCAGCAGUAGGGAAUCUUCCGCAAUGGACGAAAGUCUGACGGAGCAACGCCGCGUGAGUGAAGAAGGUUUUCGGGAAUCGUAAAACUCUGUUGUCAGAGAAGAACAAGUUGGAGAGUAACUGCUCCAGCCUUGACGGUAUCUGACCAGAAAGCCACGGCUAACUACGUGCCAGCAGCUGC
rnacentral:rRNA from 1 species